UCGGCGACCAAUGAGGCGGGACCACGCGGGCCUCCAAAACACCGAGAGGCGAGAGCUGGGGAGCUAGGGGCGUCCUCCGGCACCGGCUCCCGGAGCCGCGACGCGGCCGGUUGCUCCGGGAGACAAGUCCUCCCUGAGUGGUGCUGUGGCGGCCCCUCACGUCGUCGUCCGCUGAGCUCGCACCGCCGCCGGGAGCCAGGAUCCGUCCACUACGUGUGAGAGUGAAAAAUCGAAUGGGGCGGCAUCUUCCACUUUGUGACUUGAUGUCUUGAUUAACUUGUGACUUCUAAUGAAGGAGGAAAUCGUUGAUGAAUGGCUCCAAAUAAAGGUUAAGAACACAGCAUUUUAUGGAAGAGAGAACUACCACUGUUUGGUGAUGAAGACCUCCCCAACUCUAAUUUUAAGGUACAGUAGAGAAAGACUACCGUGGUGACACUGCACUUAAUGACAGUGUGCUCACUGAGGAUUGUCUAGCAUUCCAUCACUCCAUGACAGAAGAACCAGCCAUGCUUCUGCCAAGUUACUGCCCAUAUGGGCAUCAGGGAUGUCAGAAUGGCAAAUGUUAUAGACAGCAGCAAAGCUAUAAUUUUGUAGAUGACUGUGAAGAGAAUAUUGAUGAAAAUCAAUAUGGUGGUUUCCCAUACUUUUGAAGAAAAAAAAAGGCUGUUGUGGCUGUUAAAACCCCCUCUCUGUGUAAACUUUGGAUGUUAAGGGUCAACUCUCCUCAAAGCUUAAGAUCUCCCAAAGACCACACUCUUGGAAAUGAAAACAGAUACCUCAUGUUACCCCAGUAGGCCUGCAGAGAUAGAAAGCGCAUCUUAUGGGCCCUGCUUGGUGAGGAUCCAGCACAGCCUGGACUCUGAGCAUCUGGUAUUCCAUGUAUGCAAAAGCCACAGGAUCCAUUCAUAGUCUCCAUAAGGAAAAGGAUGUACAAGGAUAUAUAGUAUCUGAAUAUGUAAAUUUGAUUUCUCACAAGCCUACAUGUGGCACAUCAGAUUGAGCCUCCACCUGUAGCAUGAGCAUCUCAUAUAGGAGCACUGGUUUGUGUCCUAGAUGUUCCUCUUCCAAUCCAGCUCCCUACUAACAUGUCUGGGAAGGUAGAGGAUGGCUCAGGUGCUUGGACCCCCACCACACAUGUAGAUAACCCAAAUGAAAUUCCUGGCUUUGCUUUGGCCCAACCCUGGCUGUUGUGGUCCUGUAGGGAGUGGACUAGUGGAUGAAAGA